CUCUUAUGUAGGGUCUUGUGGGGCUCUGGGGUUCCAAUCAGGAAGGACCAAAUGUAGAAAACCACCCAGAUGUCCGUCGACUGAUGAAGGGAUAAACAACAUGUAGUCUGUACAAACAAGAGAAUAUUAUUCAGCCAUCAGAAGGAGGAAAUACGGAAAUGUACCACUAUCUGGAUGAACCUUGAAAACGUGAUGCUAAGUGAAAGAAGCCAGACACGAAAGACCACCAUGGGCCCUGGACCACCCUAGUCUGGCUCUCCUGCCAUCCCAGGCUUCUCCAGUGCGUCCUCCUCUGUGACAAACUGGAGUCUGCUCUGUCCAGUCUGCUGCCCCCUCGGAGCUCUGCAAGUGCC
rnacentral:lncRNA from 1 species